GGUGAGAAUGGGAGGGAGUUGAGAAUGUGUCCAUAAAAAGGGAAUAAAGAGGCCUAACUACACAGCUUUUUUUUUCACCUCCUGCUCACCUCAGGUUUCAGUUCUCUAAAUUUGAGACAACGGUGUUUUCAGACACUGUUGUAACCAAUUCUAGUGAAGGUUGUUCAGGCAGGUGCACUUGUGGGAAUUUAUGCAAAAAGGACCUCAGAAUAGCUGCUCAUCCUCAAAAUAGAAACAGGAAGUGUGGGAGGGAGAUGAGUACUGCACUCUGUUGACAGGCAACUUAUACAAUUCUUUCAGGAUUUUCUCUGAUUUUAAAAACAAAAUACUUCUACCUAGCUUAAAACAAUCUUUUAAAAACUUUGUGUGUGCAUGUAUAUUUGGGUAUACAUGUAUGCAUGUGUGUGGUGUAUGCACAUGUAUGUACAGGAGCCAGAAGCCAAAGUCAGGCACCCUUUUCUAUUGCUCUCCACUCUAUUCUGUUAAGAAAAGGUCUCUCAUUGAACCUGGAGCUAGGCUAGUGGGCAGCAAGCCAGUGAUGGAUCCUCCUGUCCCUGUCCCCCACUCCCCCACUGCUAGGGAUCUAUUUGCUCAUGUUCAACUUUUUACAAGGAUGUGGAGAACGCAAACUCGGGUCCUCAUGCUUGCACAACAAGCAUGCUCGCUUGCUAAGCAUGUUCUUAAUAUGUUUUACAAUGAAAGACACUGCUCGGGGAUUUCACCUCCAUGAAUGAUCAGUUCUGUUUGAACCUUGUUUGUCAAUCACAUAUCAUUUAUGCUCUUAUUCCUGCUUAGUACAUAUGUGUAUCUCCUCAAAUAAAUACGUUCCAGUAUUGUUUUCCUGGUUACUUAGCUCACA
rnacentral:lncRNA from 1 species